UUAAGCUAGAGCAUGGAGAGAGAGAGCUUAGGACAUGAGCAAAGCCACAGAGAGGAGGAGGAUUGAGAUGUUAUACCUCAACAUAGUGAACCCAACAUGACAUCUACCUUUUUUCUUUCUAGAGUAUUUCUUGAUUGAUAAAAAUGAUCCACAUGGUUUGGAGUGGAGAUUUUGAAGAGGGAUAGGCUAGGAGAGUAAGAAUUACCCCAUAGAGAGAUUUCUAAGUGUGGGAGUGAAAUUUCAUCUUCUCGAAGCUAUGGCGUGUAGUGCAUGUUGCUAGUCAUAUUUUCUCCCCUGUCUUGGAUCCAUUUGAGGCGCUCUUUCUUUGAGUGUGUAGAUCUUGAGCUCCUCUUUCCAAAAAGCAUAGGAAUUUAUGAUUUGGUGGAGAGAUGAAAGAGUUCUAGCCAUUUUUCUUUCAGUUUUUAUUUCUCUUCUUACAUAUAUAUUUUUCCCUCUAAGCUCAAAUCUUGGGGAGAAAUUGUACCAAUUUGUUUAAUGGACUCCUAGAUCUUGC
rnacentral:lncRNA from 1 species